AAGCGGAAGUGGAAGAAAGUUCUAGUGGCUUGAGGUAUCCGCAGGAGCGCCCGGGUGGCGGGAGGAACCGUUACGGGAACUGAAGUUGCCGGCCUAUGUUGUCCUUGGCCAGUUUCUGGUGCUAAAGAAAGAUGAAGACCUCUUCCGGGAAUGGCUGAAGGACACUUGUGGCGCCAACGCCAAGCAGUCCCGGGACUGCUUCGGAUGCCUUCGAGAGUGGUGCGACGCCUUUUUGUGAUGCUCUGUGGGAAGCUCUCAAUCCCCAGCCCUCAUCCAGAGUUUGCAGCCGAGUAGGGACUCCUCCCCUGUCCUCUACGAAGGAAAAGAUUGCUAUUGUCGUACUCACCUCCGACGUACUCCGGGGUCUUUUGGGAGUUUUCUCCCUUAACCAUUUCAACUUUUUUGGAUUCUCGCUCUUGCAUGCCUCCCCCGUCCUUUAUCCCUUGCCAGUUCCCUGGUGACAGUUACCAGAUUUCCUGAAUGGAUUCCUGGCCCCGUCCCUCACCCCCACCCUCACUUUCAAUCCGUUUGAUACCAUUUGGCUCCUUUUUUGGCAGAACAGUCACUGUCCUUGUAAAGUUUUUUAGAUCAAUAAAGUCAGUGGCUUUCA
rnacentral:sRNA from 1 species